rnacentral:rRNA from 1 species
AGGUUGUUGUUGGGGUAACGGCCCAACAAGCCUGUAAUCGGUACGGGUUGUGGGAGCAAGAGCCCGGAGAUGGAUUCUGAGACACGAAUCCAGGCCCUACGGGGCGCAGCAGGCGCGAAAACUUUACAAUGCGGGAAACCGUGAUAAGGGAACUCCGAGUGCCCGUUAAAUCGGGCUGUCCACCAGUUUAAAAAACUGGUGAAGAAAGGGCCGGGCAAGACCGGCGCCAGCCGCCGCGGUAAUACCGGCGGCUCGAGUGGUGGCCACUAUUACUGGGCUUAAAGCGUUCGUAGCUGGUUUGUUAAGUCUCUGGGGAAAUCUGCCGGCUUAACCGGCAGGCGUCUCAGGGAUACUGGCAGACUAGGGACCGGGAGAGGUGAGGGGUACUCCAGGGGUAGGAGUGAAAUCCUGUAAUCCUUGGGGGACCACCUGUGGCGAAGGCGCCUCACCAGAACGGCUCCGACAGUGAGGGACGAAAGCUGGGGGAGCAAACCGGAUUAGAUACCCGGGUAGUCCCAGCUGUAAACGAUGCGCGUUAGGUGUAUCGGUGACCACGAGUCACCGAGGUGCCGAAGAGAAAUCGUGAAACGUGCCGCCUGGGAAGUACGGUCGCAAGGCUGAAACUUAA